UCUCGGACGUCAGGAUGAACGCUAGCGACAGGCUUAACACAUGCAAGUCGAGGGGCGAGCGGGUAGAUGAGCUUGCUCAUUUAUGCCGGCGACCGGCGCACGGGUGAGUAACACGUAUGCAACCUGCCGUCUCAGGGGGAUAAUCGUCGGAAACGGCGUCUAAUACCCCGUAUGAAGCUGGACGGCAUCGUCUGGUUUUGAAAGAAUAUAGGAGGCGGAUGGGCAUGCGGCGCAUUAGCUGGUUGGCGGGGUAACGGCCCACCAAGGCAACGAUGCGUAGGGGUUCUGAGAGGAAGGUCCCCCACACUGGUACUGAGACACGGACCAGACUCCUACGGGAGGCAGCAGUGAGGAAUAUUGGUCAAUGGGCGAGAGCCUGAACCAGCCAAGUCGCGUGAGGGAGUACUGCACUAUGGGUUGUAAACCUCUUUUGUCGGGGAGCAAAAGCCGGACGUGUCCGUCUGUGAGAGUACCCGAAGAAAAAGCAUCGGCUAACUCCGUG
rnacentral:rRNA from 1 species